GGAGUUGACUAGGCAGUCGCCGCUUGCGUAAGCAAGGGGAGGAAAGUCCGGGCUUCAUAGGGCAGAGUGCCAGGUAACGCCUGGGAGGCGCGAGCCUACGACAAGUGCAGCAGAGAGCAAACCGCCGAUGGCUAUCUUCGGAUAGCACAGGUAAGGGUGAAAGGGUGCGGUAAGAGCGCACCGCGCGACUGGCAACAGUUCGUGGCAUGGUAAACUCCACUCGAAGCAAGACCAAAUAGGUUCCCUAUAGGCGCGGCCCGCGCUGGGAACGGGUAGGUUGCUUGAGCCUGUGAGUGAUUGCAGGCCUAGACGAAUGACUGUUCAAGACAGAACCCGGCUUAUCGGCUGACUCCAAAA
rfam:Thalassolituus oleivorans MIL-1 complete genome